CUUGUCCCCAAGAUACGAAUCCGAUCUUAGAUUCUUAUUUAAUGUGUCAUCCGAUCAAAAAUGUACUCAAAGAAUGGCAAAGUUUUCAGGUAUUCUUGUUAAAAAUGAAGUAAUGAAAAAUACAUGCUUUAAAAAUAAUAUACAUUCGAAAUAACUAGACUAGAAGUAAAAAUAAAAGAGUGGAAGAAAUUAAGAGGCUAAUACUUGGGAGGACGAGAAGCAUGCUUUUUUGAUGGAGCUUCUGUACAAUCCGACUAGUUUGUAGGUCCCCGGCUGAACCACCUCGACCUUCCCAGUUGGGCAUCGGUUUACCUUACUUCAUCGACGUGGAAGUAGUCGGUUCCCUUAACAUCAUGGCCCCUACUUAGGACGAUCUAUUCUUUACUCCUCAAAGCAAAGUAUUGGACUUCCUGGACGG
rnacentral:lncRNA from 1 species